GCGCAUUGGUGAAGCGGCCAAACACAUCGCCCUUUUACGGCGACAACCGCGGGUUCGAUUCCCGCCAUCUACU
rnacentral:tRNA from 1 species